CUGUAACCUGAAUGAGCAUAUGGACAAUACAACAGAGUACUGAACUCAGAGCAUCAAAGUACAAGGGAGCCCUGUAAUCUCCUUUUGGCUGAUUGUCAGAUCCCUUUACUGUCUAUGACUGAGAGCUCCAGAGCUCCAGACUGAGAGCUGGGACUGCCUUAGCUCUCAGGUCUGUUUUCUACUCCCUCCCUAUCUUCUCUGCCAUCUUGGCUCCAGUGUAAUUUCUGUAGGGAAAAUAUUUUGUCAACUGGAUGGAGAAGGAAAACUUUGGGGAGAAGAUGAGACCAAAGUUGGACCUUGAACAUAAAGAUUCCAAAAGGGUGAGACAAAAGAGAGAAUUUCAACCAUACAAUGAAAGCUUUUUGAGGACUGGGAAUGCUUUUCACUCUAUUCUUAUAACUUGGCACAGUCCCUUGAACAUGGUUUCCAUCCAUCUAUCUGGAUGUUGUUAGUAACCAGGCUGGCCACUCUGAAAAACUCAUUUGGACUGAAGUCAAUUAAUAUUGUAAUUUUUAACAUUUUAACUGAAUCUUCUAAAGAUGAUAAUACAAUCUGAAGGAUUUUUUCCCAUGA